rnacentral:misc_RNA from 1 species
AGUGCUCGGACGUAUGAAACCCUUUUCCAAAAGCUUCUGUAGUUGCUCUUUUAAUUCUUUCAAUUUUGCUGGUGCCAUCCUGUAUGGCGGCAUUAAUAUCGGGUUUUAAAAUCAAAAUUUUUAAAAAAUAAUAAUCUAAAAUCAAAAUUUUAGAAUCAAAAUAUAAAUAAUAAUUUUUUUAAAAUCAUAAGAGGUCUUAAUUUUUUUUAAAAUCAA